rnacentral:tRNA from 1 species
GCGAAAUAGCUCAGUUGGAAGGGCGUUAGACUACAGAUCGAAAGGUCCCUGGUUUGACCCCAGGAUUCGGCA